GUGCUGUUAAGUCAUUAUGUGGGGCUGGAGAGAUGGCUCAGCCGUUAAAGGCUAGGCUCACAACCAAAAAUAUA
rnacentral:miRNA from 1 species